rnacentral:rRNA from 1 species
UCCGAAGGGGGCUAUCGUUGCUCGGAAUCACUGGGCGUAAAGCGCACGUAGGCGGCUUCUUAAGUCAGGGGUGAAAUCCUGGGGCUCAACCCCAGAACUGCCCUUGAUACUGAGGAGCUUGAGUCCGGGAGAGGUGAGUGGAACUCCGAGUGUAGAGGUGAAAUUCGUAGAUAUUCGGAAGAACACCAGUGGCGAAGGCGGCUCACUGGCCCGGUACUGACGCUGAGGUGCGAAAGCGUGGGGAGCGAACAGG